GUGCCAUCUUACACCCAUAACAGAAGCUGUUAUUGUUGUGACAUCAAGUUACGGUGGUUCACUGACUGUGUGGUACAAAAUCUUAGCUCUUGUCGUUAACAAAUAAACAGCUGUUUGUAGAAUUAGCCAACUGAAACAUUUUGCCGGAGACCAUUGGGACACCGCGCAGACACUCGUCCCGCAGACCCGUUGACCCAGUGGACUCGAUGGUCGUUUUUUUCCCCUUCUUAUCUUUUGUCCAAUUCCAAAGGUUCUCUGUGUUGUGCCUCUCGGAGUCUAUCUGCUGGUGUUACAUUCAAGAGCAACAAUGUCACGUUGGAAGGAAAUGAAUAAGGAUGAGCUAGAGAGGCAGUUUUCGCCCAGCCAAUGGUCGCACAGAAUGUCGGCAGACGACGUUAUCAAAUCCCACGUGACGGCGCUCAAAGAAGGUACGGAGCGUGCCCGGGCCUGGCCCAAACCCUCCUCAACGUUCCCUAUGGAGAAGGAGGGGGGAGAAACUAGACGUCUAUGUUCCCACCACCACUUCUCUAGGUGU